AUUGAACGCUGGCGGCAGGCCUAACACAUGCAAGUCGAACGGUAACAGAAAGCAGCUUGCUGCUUUGCUGACGAGUGGCGGACGGGUGAGUUAUGUCUGGGAAACUGCCUGAUGGAGGGGGAUAACUACUGGAAACGGUAGCUAAUACCGCAUAACGUCGCAAGACCAAAGAGGGGGACCUUCGGGCCUCUUGCCAUCGGCUGUGCCCAGAUGGGAUUAGCUAGUAGGUGGGGUAACGGCUCACCUAGGCGACGAUCCCUAGCUGGUCUGAGAGGAUGACCAGCCACACUGGAACUGAGACACGGUCCAGACUCCUACGGGAGGCAGCAGUGGGGAAUAUUGCACAAUGGGCGCAAGCCUGAUGCAGCCAUGCCGCGUGUAUGAAGAAGGCCUUCGGGUUGUAAAGUACUUUCAGCGGGGAGGAAGGGAGUAAAGUUAAUACCUUUGCUCAUUGACGUUACCCGCAGAAGAAGCACCGGCUAACUCCGUG
rnacentral:rRNA from 1 species